rnacentral:lncRNA from 1 species
ACUACAAAAAGUUUUUUCGUUUUCAAUUAAAAAAAAUAAUUUGGACGGUUUAGAUUAAGGAUGUCGAUAGUUAUGGAUACUUGAAAUGUUAUUCAAACUCGAAUCUGAAAGGAAAAAAAUUUAUUCGAUGCUAAACGUAUACGUUUUUUAAUACGGGCAUGAAAAAUGAAAAUACGACGAAUUAAAAUUCAGAUAUGAAUUUUGUCUAUACCCGUCCCCAACGCAAAUAGAUUUUACACUAGUAUAUAAUAUAUAUAUAAAUAUUUAAUAUUAUAUUUAAAUUUAUAUUUAAAAAAUUAAAAUAUUAAUAUAAUAUGUUUUUAAAUAGGAUAAAGAGAAAUGAUUGUUUUGAGUUCGAUUUUGAAUAUGAAUUUUCAAAAACUCGUCGAUUAUGAUUUGACUUUGGAUCUUGGGUU